rnacentral:lncRNA from 1 species
GUAGAGCCAACACAAGCACCAGAGAGAGGCCCUGUGGGUGUUAUACCAUAGCAGAACAAAAUGACCAGCUGUGAGGACAAGCAGGUGAAAACUUAGGAGUUUCUUUGUGGAUUACAGGAGGAUGGCUGUGGAAGUUGUCCUUGAGCAGAGCUUUGGAUAAGAGAAGAGCAAUCGAUCACAGAUACUAUUUCCACAUUCCCAGAA